rnacentral:rRNA from 1 species
UACAGAGGUCCCAAGCGUUGUUCGGAUUCAUUGGGCGUAAAGGGUGCGUAGGUGGCGCCGUAAGUCGGGUGUGAAAUUUCGGAGCUUAACUCCGAAACUGCAUUCGAUACUGCGGCGCUUGAGGACUGGAGAGGAGACUGGAAUUCAUGGUGUAGCAGUGAAAUGCGUAGAGAUCAUGAGGAAGACCAGUGGCGAAGGCGGGUCUCUGGACAGUUCCUGACACUGAGGCACGAAGGCCAGGGGAGCAAACGGG